UGCAAGUCGAGCGGAUCUCUUCGGAGAUCAGCGGCGGACGGGUGAGUAACACGUGGGCAACCUGCCUGUAAGACUGGGAUAACUCCGGGAAACCGGAGCUAAUACCGGAUACUAUGUCAAACCGCAUGGUUUGACAUUCAAAGACGGUUUCGGCUGUCACUUACAGAUGGGCCCGCGGCGCAUUAGCUAGUUGGUGAGGUAAUGGCUCACCAAGGCGACGAUGCGUAGCCGACCUGAGAGGGUGAUCGGCCACACUGGGACUGAGACACGGCCCAGACUCCUACGGGAGGCAGCAGUAGGGAAUCUUCCGCAAUGGACGAAAGUCUGACGGAGCAACGCCGCGUGAGUGAUGAAGGUUUUCGGAUCGUAAAACUCUGUUGUCAGGGAAGAACAAGUGCCGGAGUAACUGCCGGCACCUUGACGGUACCUGACCAGAAAGCCACGGCUAACUACGUGCCAGCAGCCGCGGUAAUACGUAGGUGGCAAGCGUUGUCCGGAAUUAUUGGGCGUAAAGCGCGCGCAGGCGGUUUCUUAAGUCUGAUGUGAAAGCCCCCGGCUCAACCGGGGAGGGUCAUUGGAAACUGGGAAACUUGAGUGCAGAAGAGGAGAGUGGAAUUCCACGUGUAGCGGUGAAAUGCGUAGAGAUGUGGAGGAACACCAGUGGCGAAGGCGACUCUCUGGUCUGUAACUGACGCUGAGGCGCGAAAGCGUGGGGAGCGAACAGGAUUAGAUACCCUGGUAGUCCACGCCGUAAACGAUGAGUGCUAAGUGUUAGAGGGUUUCCGCCCUUUAGUGCUGCAGCUAACGCAUUAAGCACUCCGCCUGGGGAGUACGGUCGCAAGACUGAAACUCAAAGGAAUUGACGGGGGCCCGCACAAGCGGUGGAGCAUGUGGUUUAAUUCGAAGCAACGCGAAGAACCUUACCAGGUCUUGACAUCCUUUGCCACUUCUAGAGAUAGAAGGUUCCCCUUCGGGGGACAAAGUG
rnacentral:rRNA from 2 species